UACGUAGGUGGCAAGCGUUGUCCGGAUUUACUGGGCGUAAAGAGCGCGCAGGCGGUCGUUCAAGUCGCGUGUGAAAGCCCCCGGCUCAACUGGGGAGGGUCACGCGAUACUGAUCGACUCGAAGGCAGGAGAGGGUAGUGGAAUUCCCGGUGUAGUGGUGAAAUGCGUAGAGUAUCUGGAGGAAUACCGGUGGCGAAGGCGGCAUCCUGGACCGAGAUUGACGCUGAUGAGCGAAAGCUAGGGGAGCAAACGGG
rnacentral:rRNA from 1 species